CUACGGGCGGCUCCAGUGAGGAAUAUUGCACAAUGGGGGGAACCCUGAUGCAGCAACGCCGCGUGGAGGAUGACGCAUUUCGGUGUGUAAACUCCUUUUAUAUGUCAAGAAAAUGACGGUAGCAUAUGAAUAAGCACCGGCUAACUCCGUGCCAGCAGCCGCGGUAACACGGAGGGUGCAAGCGUUACUCGGAAUCACUGGGCGUAAAGGACGCGUAGGCGGGCUUGUAAGUCAGGUGUGAAAUCCUACAGCUUAACUGUAGAACUGCACUUGAAACUACGAGCCUAGAGUAUGGGAGGGGCAGAUGGAAUUAGUGGUGUAGGGGUAAAAUCCGUAGAUAUCACUAGGAAUACCUAAAGCGAAGGCGAUCUGCUGGAACAUAACUGACGCUAAGGCGUGAAAGCGUGGGGAGCAAACAGGAUUAGAUACCCGUGUAGUC
rnacentral:rRNA from 1 species